UACGGGGGGAGCAAGCGUUGUUCGGAUUCACUGGGCGUAAAGGGCACGUAGGCGGCUCGGCAAAUCGGUCGUGGAAUCCCGACGCUUACCGUCGGAACGGCGGCCGAAAAUACCGGGCUCGAGGGCGUGAGGGGUCACUGGAACUCCUGGUGAAGCGGUGAAAUGCGUAGAUAUCAGGAGGAACGCCGGAGGCGAAAGCGAGUGACUGGCGCGUUCCUGACGCUGAGGUGCGAAAGCUAGGGGAGCAAACAGG
rnacentral:rRNA from 1 species